AUUGAACGCUGGCGGCAUGCCUUACACAUGCAAGUCGAACGGCCGCAAGGUGCUGACGAGUGGCGAACGGGUGAGUAAUGCAUCGGAACGUGCCCAGUCGUGGGGGAUAACGCAGCGAAAGCUGCGCUAAUACCGCAUACGAACUAUGGAUGAAAGCGGGGGAUCGUAAGGCCUCGCGCGAUUGGAGCGGCCGAUGUCAGAUUAGGUAGUUGGUGGGGUAAAGGCUCACCAAGCCAACGAUCUGUAGCUGGUCUGAGAGGACGACCAGCCACACUGGGACUGAGACACGGCCCAGACUCCUACGGGAGGCAGCAGUGGGGAAUUUUGGACAAUGGGCGCAAGCCUGAUCCAGCAAUGCCGCGUGCAGGAAGAAGGCCUUCGGGUUGUAAACUGCUUUUGUACGGAACGAAAAGGCUCUGGUUAAUACCUGGGGCUCAUGACGGUACCGUAAGAAUAAGCACCGGCUAACUACGUGCCAGCCGCCGCCGUAAGAC
rnacentral:rRNA from 1 species